GAUGAACGCUGGCGGCGUGCCUAAUACAUGCAAGUCGAGCGAACAGAAGAGGAGCUUGCUCCUCUGACGUUAACGGCGGACGGGUGAGUAACACGUGGAUAACCUACCUAUAAAACUGGGAUAACUUCGGGAAACCGGAGCGAAUACCGGAUAAUAUAUUGAACCGAAUGGUUCAUUAGUGAAAGACGGUUUUGCUGCCACUAAGAGAUGGAUCCGCACCGCAUUAGCUAGUUGGUAAGGUAACGGCUUCCCAAAGCGACGAUGGGCAGCCGACCUGAGAGGAUGAGCGGCGACAUUGGGAAGGAGACACGGCGCAAACUCCUACGGGAGGCAGCAGUGGGGGAUAUUGCAAAAUGGGGGGAACCCUGAUGCAGCGACGCCGCUUGAAUGAAGAAGUAUUUCGGUAUGUAAAGCUCUAUCAGCAGGGAAGAUCAUGACAGUACCUGAAUAAGAAGCCCCGGCUAACUACGUG
rnacentral:rRNA from 1 species